CACGUAGGGCGCAAGCGUUGUCCGGAAUUAUUGGGCGUAAAGAGCUCGUAGGCGGUCUGUUGCGUCUGCUGUGAAAACCCGGGGCUUAACCCCUGGCUUGCAGUGGAUACGGACAGACUAGAGGUAGGUAGGGGAGAACGGAAUUCCUGGUGUAGCGGUGAAAUGCGCAGAUAUCAGGAGGAACACCGGUGGCGAAGGCGGUUCUCUGGGCCUGUACUGACGCUGAGGAGCGAAAGCGUGGGGAGCGAACAGG
rnacentral:rRNA from 1 species